AUGGCCACCGGCCGUGGGCUCCCGCUCCUCCUCGUCCUCGCCGCCCUCCUGGUCGGGCUCGCCUCCGCCUCCCCCUUCAUCUCCGACGGCGUGUUCCAGGCGGGCGCCGGAUCUACUACGGGGAGGACCUUGCUGCAGGCCAAGAGGGAUUGUCCUGUGAACUUCGAGUUCCAAAACUACACCGUCAUCACAAGCAGGUGCAAAGGGCCAAAAUAUCCUCCUAAAGACUGCUGUGAUUCUUUCAAGGAAUUUGCAUGCCCAUUUAAUAACUACAUCAAUGAUGAAAGCAAUGACUGUGCAUCCACAAUGUUCAGCUACAUCAACCUCUAUGGCAAGUACCCACCAGGCCUGUUUGCCCACGAGUGCCGAGAAGGCAAGCUAGGUCUUUCUUGCGAAGGCGUCCCCCAGAAAGACGUCGUUAAAAGUGGUGUCCAAAGGGCUCGAAGCAGCUCGCUUGCUUUGAUUACUCUCAUGUGUGGACUAGUAGCAUUGUUCUUCCAAUAG
rnacentral:rRNA from 1 species